rnacentral:rRNA from 1 species
CCGCGUGAGUGAUGAAGGUCUUCAGGAUCUGUAAAACUCUGUUAUUAGGGAAGAACAAACGUGUAAGUAACUGUGCACGUCUUGACGGUACCUAAUCAGAAAGCCACGGCUAACUACGUGCCAGCAGCCGCGGUAAU